GUUUCCAUAACAACAAAACACUUAGGGAAAAGAAAUCUGGAGGCCUUGGGAGCUGCAGAGAAAUGACAUUCUCUGCUGCAAAGAUGGGUGCCAGUCCUUGGUGUGCAAUGAUGGAACAGCCUUCGACACAAAGUUUUCACCACUGAACCUGCCUCAGUGGUUUAAUGCAUCCUUUGGUCAUUCGAAAACAAAAUAUAAGAAGGAAAUAUCACCUGCGUAAGCAGCAACUUCACUGAAAGGCAAUUGCACUUUAAUGUGUCAGCACACUUUACCAUAUGCUAGUCACUACAAAUUUUUCUCUCUUGGAAUGAUCUGCUACAAGAUACAGCUCCUCAUCACUGGAGAGCACCUUUCUGUACAUAUAUUGGCAGUUGGCAGCAUGUUAGUAAAACUCUGCCUACUUUAUUUCUGUGCUCUGUCAGAUAUAUUCUGCAUUACAACCAAGAUCUGCAUGUUAUAUUG